UUUAACGUCAACAUUCGUUCAGAACAAUUAGAUUGAUAGCAGGGGAAAAUGUGCUCUCAAAAAGUAUCAAAAGAAAGGUGGAUAAUGAAAAUCAAAGUUUCAGGGAAGGAUGUACAGAGGAACAAGCUAUCCCGAUACACAUGUCACGCCCUGAUCUGUUUCACCUGUUCCUGUGAUUGUCUCCACCUCCUCCAGUUCGCCUGGUUCUGACCCCCACCUGACUCUGGACUACUUUCCUGCCUGCCUGCCUGCCUGAUCAUCCUGCCUGCCCUUUGUUACCAAUUGGAUUCUGAUCUGGUUUUGACCUUUUUCCUGUCCUUGACUUUUCUCUUGCUUACCCCUUUUGACAAAUAAACAUUCUAAGACUCCCA